CUGGGGACACACACAAUUUGUUACUACACGGGCAUUGUGCUGAUCUGCUGCUGCUGCUGCACUGACUGACACAGGAAUCCAGCGAGGGAGUACAGGCAAAAAGCAGCUCCAGCAAACAAGAGGAGAUAGCCAGGACUUCAAGCCCAGAGUCAACUAGCCGCAGCCAGCAUUGCUGUGCAGAACCGAUUCUCAUCACACGACUCGAUAUACGAUUUCAAAAUUUUUUACUUUUUGGAAAAAGAUUGGAAUAUGGUUGGGGAGAUGGAAACCAAGGAGAAACCGAAGCCGACCCCAGAUUAUUUAAUGCAGUUAAUGAACGACAAGAAGCUUAUGAGCAGCCUUCCUAACUUCUGUGGGAUCUUUAACCACCUAGAAAGACUUCUGGAUGAAGAAAUUAGCAGAGUACGAAAAGAUAUGUACAACGACACGUUAAAUGGCGCCAACAAUGAAAGGAGGAGUGCAGAGUUACCCGACGGUAUUGGACCUAUUGUACAAUUACAAGAGAAACUUUAUGUGCCUGUAAAAGAAUACCCAGAUUUCAAUUUUGUUGGACGAAUUCUGGGCCCCAGAGGACUUACAGCUAAACAACUGGAAGCGGAAACAGGGUGCAAGAUUAUGGUUCGAGGCAAGGGCUCCAUGAGAGACAAAAAGAAGGAGGAACAAAAUCGAGGCAAACCAAACUGGGAGCACCUGAAUGAAGACUUACAUGUAUUGAUAACUGUGGAAGAUGCUCAAAACCGAGCAGAAAUGAAGUUAAAAAGAGCAGUUGAAGAAGUCAAAAAGUUGCUAGUUCCAGCAGCAGAAGGAGAAGACAGCUUAAAAAAAAUGCAGCUGAUGGAAUUGGCCAUCUUGAAUGGCACCUACAGGGACGCCAACUUAAAAUCACCAGCCCUUGCCUUUUCUCUUGCAGCGACAGCUCAGGCCCCUCGGAUUAUUACAGGGCCUGCGCCUGUUCUGCCCCAAGCUGCUCUGCGUAAUCCUACGCAAGCUGGCCCUACCUUAAUGCCUUUGAUCAGACAAAUACAGACGGCUGUCAUGCCAAAUGGAACCCCACAUCCAACAGCUACAUUAGUUCCACAAGGACCUGAAACUGGUUUAAUCUACACACCUUAUGAUUAUCCCUAUACACUGGCCCCUACAUCAAUCCUUGAGUACCCCAUUGAAACAAGUGGUGUAUUAGGUAUGGCUUUCCCAACAAAAGGCUAAGAAUUCAAGAAAGUUGUCUUAACUGAACCCUCACCACAUCUGAAUCCUAACAAUUGCAUAGUUUCAGCAGUCUGAAAAAGAAAACAAAACAAAAAAACUUUCUGAAAGAACUUUGCCUAGCAGUCAGUGACUUACUUGCACUUAUUUCUUCUUAUUUUGCACAUAAACAUAUUUUAUGUUGAUCAAUAUUUGAUUUAGUCUAUACCUUGAGACAGUGGUAGUUAUAAGUGAGUGUACAGUAGAAUACUGACUGCUACGUUUCUUCUUCAGCGUGCUUUACUAAUCACUUAAUUCAUGUGGUUCCUACUUACUGACUUAAGGUUUUCAAACCGUGGAUAAAUAAUGCAAAUAAUUUAAGCUUAAAACAUAAACUGGAAGUGAACUUAAUUGUAACAUAUGUCAGUAUUACAAUGGCAUUAUUUUGUCCUACUGCAAGUAAAGCACUUCAUUGAAUAUGUGACUAGUAAAGCUUUAUAUUGCUUGGGUCUUACAGAUUUCAAGAAAUACUGUUCUUGAGUGGCAAAUGGAUGAAUUAUGUUCCAAUUCAGUGCCAAGGUGCUUGAAGAUUAUAUCCUUGCCCAGCACAUGCACUGACGGAAUAAACCAGUUAAGGCCAGAGAUGUGAUAUUAAUUGCAAUAUUAAUCUGCACAUGUCAACUCCAUAAAUAGCAAGGGUUCAAACUACCGUGCCUUAACUUGUUUUCUUAACGAAGAAGAAAAAAAAUGAAGCUUUUGUAGCAAACCAUCAUGUAAAUCCAAUUUUUGAUGAAACCUGCUAUUAAUUGUGUCAGAUUUGUUUAUGAAUGUUUGUUUUCUAACUAUGUCUUGGUAAUUGCAAUUUAACUAGGUGCGGUGGCUACUAAGGUUCGAAGGCAUGAUAUGCGGGUCCAUCCUUACCAAAGGAUUGUGACCGCAGACCGAGCCGCCACCGGCAACUAACCUAUGACCUUCUGACCUCUGAACUCUUCACCCAAUGAUGACCUGACCAUGCCUGCCUGCUGAUCAGUUAACUGGUAAUCGCCUCUGCUUGUCUGUCUUCAGUGCAGCGAGCUGAGGCACUUGUCCGUUCGUCUUACCAUCUAACAAAAAGACACACAGAAAUAUAAUUUUCUUCCAACUCAGCAUUUUUUUAUUCUCCCCCCUUCCCUUGAUUGGGUGAAAGUGAUUCUAGUAUCUGCACUGAAUUGUAGCAAAGCAAUAAGGUCCAAUUCAGCCCUCCGCACUGAUCAUCCUUUUGUGUCCUAACCAAACGAACGGUAUAAAGGCCUCACCUACAGUACUGGCGAGACAGCUGAUCCUCAACUACCGAUGACAGAGGCAGUUACUGUGAGAGACUUCUAGGAAUCUUUUUUUUGUUUUUCUCUCGUAUAGUGAAGUUAAAAGCUAUCUCUGAAUGUACUGUGUUGUGAUGAUGCAUAAUGCAUGAACCUAUUUGGUCAGGGGUUUCACUGGGGAAGUUAUUUAACAAAAAAGGUAUUCAAAAUAUAACAUACUGUUUUGUCACUACACUGCCCUUCUGGGGUAGAAGUUGUAAUCUUUUUAUUUUCUUUAUGAUAUUGCCUGCCAAAUUUGUUAUAUUACGAUGGGUGCCAUGAAAAAAUGUUGAUUUACAAUUUUUUAAUCUGUUAAGAAAAAAAAAAAAUAUAUAUAUAUAAAAAUAUGAAACUUCUUUAACUCACACAUGGGUUGUGAUGCAAUUAAUGGAAAUAUUAGUCUCCAAGCCUGGAAUAAGGUACAUGCAUUAUGUAUCACUUUACUGGGCAAACUGUUCAAAUAUUUUUUAGACCUCCCUGUAUAGAAAAAAUACAUUAAGGAUGUAAAAGCCAUGCUUGCCUAUUUGCUGUAUAAUUGUAAUGAAAUUGUAGAUAAGUGUAGUGCAUUGAAACAAAUGAACAAAAAAGUAGAUAAUUUUACUAUACAAGGGUGCUGGUGCAGAAAAAAAAAUAUAUUUUUGGAAAUGUAGCAUUUUAUACUUUAAAUUAUUAUAAAAAAAAAAAAAAAAAGAAAAAAAAAAAAAGAACAAAGAAACCCUUUAUUGCAUCAAAUGAUUUUUGUUUGUUUUUUUUCCUUUUCGGUGGUAGUCAAGAAAUAAGACCAAAAGAGCCUUUUUGUCCUUUUUUUUUUUUUUUUUUUUAUUAAUUUUUUUAAAUUUUAUUAUUAUUAUUGGAAUAAGUCAAAAGAAAGUGCCUUAUUUUUCCUCAUGGUCAUUUAAUCCAAUGUCAUAAAGAACAUUUUGUUUUUUAAUAAUCGUUUCUGGGUUGAUGGAGCCUGCAGCCUGUUGCAAAGCAAUACUAAGGGGGUCUAAAGUAGUUUCAGAAAAAAAGCCAAGCCAGUUAAUGCCAGUCGCCCAGUACAGUAUAUUUAAAAAUACUUGAGUGAAGAAAUGUUGACAUUUGAAUACGCCAGGUCUUUGUCAUUUUUUUUUUUUUUUUUAAGCGACAACCAGCAGCUACAAUUUGACCUACUUUAAAAAAAAUUCAGGCAUGCACCUAUAUAUAUAUAUAUAUAUAUAUAUAUAUAUAUAUAUAUAUCCUUAAGGUGCAUCAAAAUCUCAAGUUAGCAAUAUUUAUAGACUAUUUAAAAAAUAAAUUUAAAUAAAUCCUUUUAUUGUUGUAGUUAUCAAGACAAUUGUUGCCUCCUAAAAUGCUUGUGUGAAAAAAAGCAUAUUCUAGCUCCAAAUAAGCUGACUGUAAUUUCAACCUUCUAGUUAUUCAGUUCCAUUUAUUAUUUUCACUUACAAUUGUGAUAAAGAUCUGGUUAUUGCCUUUAUUUUCACCCUUGUCAACGCUUCCCUCAGUUGUUUAAGAUUUCCCUUUCAAAGGUCAGCAGUUAGCCCAGAGCGCUUAUUUUUCAACCACCUUUGUGGUCACCACAUUCACCAUUAUGUCUCACUCAAAUUAUCAAUUAAUUUACUAUGCAACAGACAUUCAUCUUUUUCUAUUCAGCAGCAGUAGCUUUUAUUUACGGUGCCACCAGCUUUGUCUUCCUGUUAAAUUUGUAUUUUGUCCUUUAAAUUUUUAUUUUUUUGCAAGAACCCCCCCCCUUUUUUUUUUUGAGUGGUUAGAUCAAAUCUGCGACACUCAAGCAUUUAGAGAGAUAUCUUUGAAUAUAAGCAACCAGUAUUUGAUCCAGUUUCAUCUCAUCUAUGAUAAACCUGGACAUUUUUAGAUGUUUUUGAAAGGAUUUUUUAAUUUUUGAGAGUGGUGAAAUUCUGUAAGUCUAUUGAAUAGACGUGUGACACUUAGACGUGUUUGGUAUGAACAAACUUAGGAAACACAGUAAAGUUAAAAAAAUAAAUAAAAAAAAAAUAAAAAAAAUUAAAAAAACAAAACAAAUGGGUCAACAUUAAAAAAGCAUGACAUUUGAAAUCUCUGAAUGCCUUUUUGUUCUCAGUAUUAUCAUUUUUAUGUUUUUAUUCUUUAUUAUUAAAAUAGCUAGGUUUUUUUCAGUCUUUUAUUUUUCUUUUGACAGUAUUAUGUAUUUUUUUUGUUUUUAUUCUAAAGAAUGGGUAGAUGGGAGUGUCGCUGGUGUAUAACCGUGCAAGAUGACAUGUAUUUGUCUAUUCUUUAUAACCUUAGUAGUUUCAUGCUAUGUAUGUAUCAUAACCAACCUAUUGCCUAAAAGAACCUGUAAGAUAAUGUAUUUACAGCCAUUGUUACAAGUUUAUAAUGUAUUUUUCUAUCUUGUUUUAUAUGUAUGUUAUAUAACAUUCAAAGGAAUUUUUUUCCUGAUUUGAGAAAAGGAUACAAAAAAAUGCAAAACCCACAAUUUUUUGAUAACUGAAAAUUGCCAAUUGUUUUGCAGUACUUUAUUAUAUUGGGAGUGUUGUCUUUCUUGGCUUUUAGUUAGCUACUGGAUGACUUCAUUAAACAUAUUGGGUUUUAGUUGGGUUUUUACAUGGCUUGCAUUUUAAUUCUUUGGUUCUUUGCUGUUUCUAUUAACCCCAUAGCAUUAUUUUAAUAAAUGUUAUAAUACCAAGAUACUAACUCUGGACUUUGUCUGUUCAUUAACAUUGUGUGUUUUCAUUACAAUAAGAUAUGUAAAGACAACAAGAAUGUACAGUCUUGAGUUUCUGGACUAACCCUGAAGAGCGUGACCACAGAUAACCCAGCGUUAAUUGUUUUAAUAUUGUUUGUCGGCUGAUAUUCUGCACACUACUAUUAAAAUAGCUUUGGUCAAUCUGGCCGUCUGCCAUGGCAAUGUGUGCCAGUAGAGAUGGGAACAAAAUAGCCUUUACACAAAGUGUAGAGUCUUGCCACUUGCCUUUUCAGCAUCUGCAUUACUAAUGCCACACUUUCCUCCUUUUUGUUCUUCAAAUAAUCAUCUCUUGCAAAUGGGCAUUGAGCCUCCAUGUUUCCUCAGCAAUAACAUAAACUCACAGUAGUGCUUCUAAAUCCAGUUUGAUUCUAUACUGAUAUUGUAUAAUAUGAUCUUUUUUUUUUUAUCUGACACAGUGUUACAUUUUUUUUUUAUCCACAGUUAUCGCAAAGUUACACAAAUACAUUUUUUUUUCUUAUUUCAUAUUGAUCAUGUAAAUUUAGGCAGAGUCAACAUGAUACUACUGUACUAACUGGAAUGUGUACCCUGCAAUAAGAAGAUUUCUAUAAAUCAGAAGAAGGUAUAGACACUUCCAAAGCAAUAUUUUAAAAAUGAUAUAUUUUAUUAUUUUUAUAUAUACACAUACAUUUUAAGGUUUUCAACUAUAGCUGUACAUUUUCACAUUGUAGCGAUCACCCCAACCUACAGUUGAGAUUAUUUUUAUUUAUUUUUAACUCUAAAUAUUUUAAUUCUGUUAAUGUAUUAAAUAUACAUUACCUACUCCUCACUACAAAGGGUUAACAAACACUGGCAUGACGUCAAUCUGCAGUUUACAUUUUAUUUAUUUAUUUUAAUUCUUAUAACACUAUGCUCAUAAUUUAAAUACACACAAUAAUCACAUUUUGUGUCCUUCAGAUGAGGCUUUAUACUUAAUGUACAGCAUAAUUAUCAGGUCACUGCAAUAGUUAGUCUGUGAUAAAGUACCUAAUGAAUUUUUGAGUUCCAAAUAGCUUAUAACCAAAUCUCUUAAAGGGUUGUAGAAGUACUGAUUCAAGGCGAUCUCCAAGCAAAGGAAAGUCUACAUUUUCACAUUAUUGCAAUUUAAAAUAAUGGAGUAGUCACUAGAUACAGGCUUUUCAAUUUUUUAACUUGCAUGAGUUCAAAGUUUAAGGAUAUUUAUCUUUAUACAGGUAGGUCACUAAGUGCUUUGGCUACAUAUUUUAUAUGCACACUUUUUCUUACACUAAGAUCCUUAAAGGGACCGUCUACUCCAGAAUUGUUAUUGUUUAAAAAUAUAGAAAAUCCCCUUAUUACCCAUUCUCCAGUUUUGUGUAACCAACACAGUUAUAUUAAUAUACUUUUUACAUGUGUGAUUACAUUGUAUUUUAGACUCUGCAGACUGUCCCCUUAUUUCAGUUCUUUUCCCAUACUUGCAUUUUAGCCAAUCAGUGCUGACUCAUAAAUUACUCCACGGGGGUGAACACAAUGGUAUCUAUAUGGCCCACAUGAACAAGCGCUAUCUAGCUGGGAAAAACUGUCAAAAUGCACUGAGAUAAGAGGCAGCCUUCAAGGGCUUAGAAAUUAGCAUGCGAGCCUACCUAGGUUUCAACAAAAUAAUGAGAACAAAGCAAAUUUGAUUAUAAAAGUAAUUUGGAAAGUUGUUUAAAAUUGCAUGCCCUAUCUGAAUCAUGAAAGUUUAAUUUUGACUAGAUUGUCCCUUUAAAAAAGUGACCUGUUGUUGCUUUUGAAGACAAAAGUGUGACAGUCCUGCUGUAGAGAUCCUGUCAUUAUCUAGUUUGAUGUAGAAACAUUGGUAUAGCUGUGUGUUGCAGCUGCUGCUGCAAGAUGCACAAAAGGUUUAGCUUGUGGGCAUUAAACACAUUGUGACAUUUUCUUAUGGUAUGUUUAUUAUAUAUAUUUCUAUUUGAUUUUAUAUUCUUAACUUUAAAAUUAUUUGUAUAAUGUUAGUAAACAUUCAAAACCUCUAACAUUUAAGACUCCUAUUUUGUGAUCUAUAAAAAGACAACCAAAGUUAAAUCUUUAAAGGGAUACUGAACCCAAAUGUUUUUCUUUCAUGAUUCAGAUAGAGCAUGCAACUUUCUAAUUUACUCCUAUUAUCAAUUUUUCUUCGUUCUCUUGGUAUCUUUAUUUUAUGAAUGUAAGCAUAGGAGCCGGCCCAUCUUUGAUUCAGCACCUGGGUAGCGCUGGCUGAUUGCUGGCUAAAUGUAGCCACCAAUCCGCAAGCGCUAUCCAGUGAACUGAACCAGAAUAAAGAUACCAAGAGAACAAAGAAACGUUGAUAAUAAGAGUAAAUUAGAAAGUUACUUAAAAUUGCAUGCUCUAUCUGACUCAUGAAAUACACUUUAGGUUCAUUAUCCCUUUAACAACAAGGUCACAUAUUUAGAAACUACAAUAUAAGGAAAAAAAAGUUAAAUGGAAGAAUAUCCAAUGAACACUAACAGAUUCGUUCACUAGUCACACAGGGUUGUGAUCAUAUGGGGAGGAAACAAAUAGAAAAUCGAAAUAAGAUAUAGUGUUUUUUUAUACAUGUAUAUUUGUUCAAGCACUGUUACUAUGAUCAAAUCAUUCUUAGUUUAGGUUUAAGAAUGUAUAUUUAGAGCAACAGAAGACCUGUUUUUAUUUCAGAUGAAAUACCUUCUUUUUUUUUAUUCUGAGUAACUGGAUCCAGGGAGUACAUGAAUGAAAAUAAAUUUAAAAUAGGAAAUCCAGGGAAUAAUGACAGCCAUUUUCCCCCCUUAAAUCAACAGUAAGUGGCAAUUAAAAUGCUUGGUGCUUUCUGUCAAUGGGGAGAAAUGUAUGUAUAAUUUUUUUUUGGUAAAAUCCACAGUUCAGUGUGCUUUAUUUAUUACAUAUUUAUUGUAAAAGUACAAAUAAAUGACUCGCUUGUACAAACAACUUGUACUUAUUUGCAGUUAUUCCAUUAAUGUUUUCAUGACAUGAUUUCCUGUUCAAGUAGUAAAGUAUUUAAAAUAAAAGAAUACACCCAGUCACUGGCACCGGA